AACGCACCUUGCGCUUUCGGGUUAUUCCUGGAAGCAUGCUUGUUGGAGUAACUGUACACUCUCAACCCCACCUUUCUUAAUUGAAAAGGCUGUCGGGCUUGGAUCUUGAUGCUUUGUUGUGUUGAUUUCUCGAUACAACUGCGUUGAAAUACAGUCAAGCUGAAAACGCAUCUCUUGCUAGAACUUUGCAGGCUUCGGCUAUACUAUUGUUGUAAAACUUCGGUCAAUAGUGUUGCAUUCCGUUUGAAAAGAGGUCGAAACUAGUAGGCUUACCAAAAACAAAGUAGACCCGUUCUUAAUUGCACGACUACGCCAUAUUGUUGACUUGUUCUCCAAUCAAGUAGGACUACCCGCUGAACUUAA
rnacentral:misc_RNA from 1 species